rnacentral:rRNA from 1 species
CGACCGGCGCACGGGUGAGUAACACGUAUGCAACCUGCCCUCUUCAGGGGACGAACCUUCCGAAAGGGAGGCUAAUCCCGCGUAUAUCGGUUUCGGGCAUCCGAGAUCGAGGAAAGAUUCAUCGGAAGAGGAUGGGCAUGCGGCGCAUUAGCUAGACGGCGGGGUAACGGCCCACCGUGGCGACGAUGCGUAGGGGUUCUGAGAGGAAGGUCCCCCACACUGGUACUGAGACACGGACCAGACUCCUACGGGAGGCAGCAG